rnacentral:rRNA from 1 species
GACGAACGCUGGCGGCGUGCCUAAUACAUGCAAGUAGAACGCACAGUUUAUACCGUAGCUUGCUACACCAUAGACUGUGAGUUGCGAACGGGUGAGUAACGCGUAGGUAACCUGCCUGGUAGCGGGGGAUAACUAUUGGAAACGAUAGCUAAUACCGCAUAAUAUUAAUUAUUGCAUGAUAAUUAAUUGAAAGGUGCAAUUGCACCACUACCAGAUGGACCUGCGUUGUAUUAGCUAGUAGGUGAGGUAACGGCUCACCUAGGCGACGAUACAUAGCCGACCUGAGAGGGUGAUCGGCCACACUGGGACUGAGACACGGCCCAGACUCCUACGGGAGGCAGCAGUAGGGAAUCUUCGGCAAUGGACGAAAGUCUGACCGAGCAACGCCGCGUGAGUGAAGAAGGGUUUCGGAUCGUAAAGCUCUGUUGUAAGAGAAGAACGGGUGUGAGUGUGGAAAGUUCACACUGUGACGGUAUCUUACCAGAAAGGGACGGCUAACUACGUG